AACGCGAAGAACCUUACCGGGGCUUGACAUCGGAGGACAACUCUAGAAAUAGAGCUUAGGGGCAACCCUACUUCCAGACAGGUGCUGCAUGGCUGUCGUCAGCUCGUGCCGUGAGGUGUUGGGUUAAGUCCCGCAACGAGCGCAACCCUUGUCCUAUGUUGCCAGCGGGUAAUGCCGGGGACUCGUAGGAGACUGCCGGGGUCAACUCGGAGGAAGGUGGGGACGAGGUCAAGUCAUCAUGCCCCUUACAUCCAGGGCUGCACACAUGCUACAAUGGCUGGUACAGAGGGCUGCUAAUUCGCGAGAAGGAGCCAAUCCCUAAAGCCAGCCUCAGUUCGGAUCGCAGUCUGCAACUCGACUGCGUGAAGUCGGAGUCGCUAGUAAUCCCGGAUCAGCAUUGCCGGGGUGAAUACGUUCCCGGGCCUUGUACACACCGCUAGUC
rnacentral:rRNA from 1 species